AGUGUGCUACGAGGUUUCAAAACUGGCAAGCAAGAAACAUGAAUGAUAUUUAGGGUCGUGGAGUUGUAAAUAUAUUUUUUUGAAAAAAAGUUUGUUAAUCACAAGAGUUGCUAUUUUUUGGAUAAAUCACACUAGGAAGACUGUGUGAUGGGCUGGCUCAAGCAUGAAAUUAAAAUCAAAAGGUUGGCUGAGCUUACAAAUUGCAGUGCUUUGAGGAUUCCUUUGAUUGAAGGCAAUGGAUCAUAUCGGAGUUACAUUGAUUGGUAUCACUACCAGAAAGCAAAAUAAAGCCAGUGGUGCCUCAGCUUGGUGGGUUGGAGAUAUAUGAAUAAUGCAGUGUGGAUCGGAGAAGAAGAAGAAGAAGAAGCUAAGUAUGGAAGAUCAGAUCAGUAUUGAUUUUGAGGUCUAUGGAGGGACAAGUAGUGUUGGAGGUGUAUGCACAAUUCCAUCCUUAAUUUGCAUACACUUUAUAUAUUUGAAAUGCACAGAAACAGAGAAGCCAAGGACAACUGCACUUCUGUCCAUCCACAAGGCCUUCCCUACAAUUUAAUUUCAUCACAAAUUAUAUAUAUCAUGAA